rnacentral:rRNA from 1 species
AAUCAACGCUGGCGGCGUGCCUCAGACAUGCAAGUCGAACGCGAAAGUCCCCUUCGGGGGACAAGUAGAGUGGCGCACGGGUGAGUAACACGUAGGUAAUCUACCUUUGGAUGGGGAAUAACAACCGGAAACGGUUGCUAAUACCGCAUAAUGCAGCGGCACCUAAUGGUGACAGUUGUUAAAGCGGGGGAUUGAAAGACCUCGCGUCUGAAGAGGAGCCUGCGGCGGAUUAGCUGGUUGGUAAGGUAACGGCUUACCAAGGCGACGAUCCGUAGCCGGCCUGAGAGGGCGGUCGGCCACACUGACACUGACAUACGGGUCAGACUCCUACGGGAGGCAGCAGUCGGGAAUUUUGGGCAAUGGGCGAAAGCCUGACCCAGCAACGCCGCGUGAAGG